UGAGCGGAACCACGAACGAAUUGGAGAUGCUCGUCUGGUCGGUCACGUUCUGGCCGAACACGCCGAUGGAAAACCGAUUGGCGAUGGUGCCGAGUGUGAGCGACGCGUCCACCACCCAGUAUCCCUGCUGCUGCUGUUCAGGCAGGAAGUCGAGCCCCACCAGUGUCUCGGACUGGUAUCGCGUGCGCGCGUGAGCCACGAGUGUUCUGCCGCGCGCGAGAUUGAACGUCUGCUCCCCACCAAGUGCGAGCGUCCAUUCGGGUGCAUACGGCGCCCGUCGUCCCGAGCAGUCGACCGCAAACCCCGUCUGCGUCGAGUCCACGGUGCAGCCGGUAAGCGGACGACCCAAUUGAGUCGACGUCGUGUAGGCAUACGCAUCGUACUUCGCAUCGAGAAACUGGACAUCCGCCGAGAGUUUAGUCGUCGUGGAGAGACGAUAAAGAAGGUCGGUCUCAAGGCCACGGAUGCUCACCUGGCCAAUGUUCUCGGUUCGCAGGUUCGGAAAGCCUUUCGAGUCUACCACGACCCUGGUGACUUGCUGAUCCUGGUAGCGCCAGUCGAACAACUCCAUGCUCCCCUGCAGGCGUUGCGCGAACAGGCGACUCUUCACGCCGAGCGUAAAGGCAUCGACGUAUUCGGGCUGGUAAACUUUGGAAUCGAAGUUGAAGAAGAAGCCCCCGGACUUGAAGCCGGUCUCGUAGCUCACAUAGAGAAGUGAGCGCUCAGUCAGAUCGUAGUCCAUGGCGGCCCGCCACGUCGGGUGAGAGAAUGUCACCGCUGUGUCCGAGAGCAUCCGGAGCCCUGUCGUUAUCGUGCCGUUGACAGCGUCGACCUUCGGCACGGCCGUCGAUGAACCGGGAAGGAAGACGAGCGGCGACGUUGCGAUGUCCAACGGGAAUGGCUGCGCGUUCGGACACGACGCCUGGCGACACACGACGUUGAAGCUCUCUAGGGAUCCCUGGACGUCCUUAUCCUCGUGCGUCAGGCGUGCACCAAGCGUAGCGCGCAGCUUGCUCGUUGCGUAGAAGGUCGCGCUACCAAAUGGCGCAAUACUCGUGGUUGAUCCUUUGGGACGCUGAAGUGAAAAGUUGAACUGAUUGUAUGGGCGCGUGUACAGGUCGACGCUUUCGUCGAAGUAGAACACACCGAGGAGAGUGCGUACGCGCGUAUGAGGCGUGGAAGACAGACGGGCCUCAACCGUGGCCUGCUGACUAUGCUCGUCGAGCGUAAAGAGGUUCCCCACCGCGCUGCCUGUCGCAUCGAGGUCGCUGUUCCGGAAAGCCGGAAUCAGUGUGAGAUCGCCUAGCUUCGUUUGCCAAUCCACCGUGGCAUUCAAACCCCAGUGGUGGUUGUCGUUGCGCUGAAUCGCCGACAUGGGCAGCCAGUUGCGCCCUGCGAGUGCCAUGCGCUGGGUCUCAUAGUACUCGCCGCCUUCCGUCGAAGCCGCGCCGACACGUUCGUCUCGGGGAAGGGCCAGCGGUGUCGCGCCCGCACCAUGACCGCCUUGAUCGUAGUAGUCGCCGCCAACGCGAACGGAGAAUGCGUCGCUUGCCUUGAAUCGAACCAAUAGCCGCGCGGACCAAUCGUCCUGGUCGUCCGUGCCGUCCUUCAUGUAAGCGUCGUGCUGCACGCGCUGCGCUGCCACACGUACCGCCGCCUUGUCUCCAAGCGGCGCGUUCAGCCAGCCAUCGACGUUGCGGCUGCCGUACAUGCCGAGUCCGGCGGCCAUCUCACCAGCGAGAGUUUUCAGUUUCGGGAGUCGGGGCAGGAUGUUCAGCACGCCACCGGUCGCGUUGCGUCCGUACAGCGUGCCUUGCGGCCCCUUGAGCACUUCGAUCCGUUCGAGGUCGUAAUACAGGCCGCUCGUGGACGUGGAGUGACCGAUAUACACCCCAUCAAAAUUGAAGAUCACGGCUGGAAAAAAAUCCUGAAACGAGGAGCCGG
rnacentral:misc_RNA from 1 species